rnacentral:rRNA from 1 species
CACUCCUGCGGGAGGCAGCAGUGGGGAAUUUUGGACAAUGGGCGAAAGCCUGAUCCAGCCAUGCCGCGUGCAGGAUGAAGGCCUUCGGGUUGUAAACUGCUUUUGUACGGAACGAAACGGCCUUUUCUAAUAAAGAGGGCUAAUGACGGUACCGUAAGAAUAAGCACCGGCUAACUACGUGCCAGCAGCCGCGGUAAUACGUAGGGUGCAAGCGUUAAUCGGAAUUACUGGGCGUAAAGCGUGCGCAGGCGGUUAUGUAAGACAGUUGUGAAAUCCCCGGGCUCAACCUGGGAACUGCAUCUGUGACUGCAUAGCUAGAGUACGGUAGAGGGGGAUGGAAUUCCGCGUGUAGCAGUGAAAUGCGUAGAUAUGCGGAGGAACACCGAUGGCGAAGGCAAUCCCCUGGACCUGUACUGACGCUCAUGCACGAAAGCGUGGGGAGCAAACAGGAUUAGAAACCUUGUAGUCCCAUGAU